AUUGAACGCUGGCGGCAUGCCUUACACAUGCAAGUCGAACGGCAGCACGGGAGCAAUCCUGGUGGCGAGUGGCGAACGGGUGAGUAAUAUAUCGGAACGUGCCCAGUCGUGGGGGAUAACGCAGCGAAAGCUGUGCUAAUACCGCAUACGAUCUCUGGAUGAAAGCGGGGGACUCAGCAAUGGGCCUCGCGCGAUUGGAGCGGCCGAUAUCAGAUUAGCUAGUUGGUGGGGUAAAAGCCUACCAAGGCGACGAUCUGUAGCUGGUCUGAGAGGACGACCAGCCACACUGGAACUGAGACACGGUCCAGACUCCUACGGGAGGCAGCAGUGGGGAAUUUUGGACAAUGGGCGAAAGCCUGAUCCAGCAAUGCCGCGUGCAGGAUGAAGGCCUUCGGGUUGUAAACUGCUUUUGUACGGAACGAAACGGUUCGCCUUAAUACGGUGGGCUAAUGACGGUACCGUAAGAAUAAGCACCGGCUAACUACGUGC
rnacentral:rRNA from 1 species